AACCAAACCAUUCAAUAAUGCUUGAUAUCUGUAAAAGGUGCUACAUAUUAGUUUAAUUUUAAUCGGAUUAAAUAUAAUACUGGCAAGUAUAAAACUCCGUUGGGAGUGGCACCCCUGACAGCGUAUUGAUAGUGAAUGUGUAACUCAUAAAUAGUUAACUUUAGAUUCCAUUAGGUUUGUAAAAAGACAUCAAUAUCGAAAAAAUAGGAGAUUUUGUACAAUACAUGCAUCUUAAAACCUAGUUUUGUACAAAAUCAUUUCAUAGGAAUUGUAGAACUCUUGAAAUAAACGACUAAAAUGUCAUUUUGUUAGGCUGCAUAACGAACAAAGCGUUGGCAAGGGCAUCUCAGAGUCUUGAGAGAAAGCAUUCCCUGGCGGAAUUAUAAGACAAAUAAACAAUGAGAUCCUUUCAAAAUGUUAAAUCAGGUAGUCAGCACAUGAUUGCAAGUGCAUGUAUAAAAUUGUAUACAGUGCUUCAAUUAAGUACGGAUAUUUAUCUUUAAUUUUGGCCAAGAAAAUUUAGUCUUUAGUUUUUCAGAGACAUAAUGCCCCCUUCACAUAAAACGAAUUUUGUUUACGAGAACUUACAGAUUGCCACAUCGUAGUCAAUGGCAAGCAUCCGGAAAUAACUUGCUGUUAUCCGUAAAUAACUCGCACGCAAAAAACUCGCAGAUGCUCUUAAGGAUCCGUGAAAGGAGAGGCAAAUAUUUUGACAUGUCAAAAAACUUCUUAAGUUUGUCCACGGAUUGAUUGUUUCCGUAAAUAACUCAUAACAAUCCGUAGGUACUUUAACAGCUCGCAACAGCACGUAACUAGCCGUCAACUGCUCGAUAGAAUCCGUAAAUGACUUGUAACAUUUUUAAACGAUUUUUACGGUAAGGUAAUGAUUUGUUUAUGGACUAACUCGUCACAAUUCGUAAUAACAAGCAGGCGCGUAGCCAGGCAUACUCCCAUACUCCCGGGAGUACUUCGAUUUUGAAAAAUGAAAAUUCUAAAUGGCCUAAAUCCGGUGUAAAACUUGAACCCUAAGGGGGUACAGGCGAAUUUGAAACCAAUCCAGCUCGGCAUUAUAAAAGUUAAAUGUAAAAUGUCAUAUAUAUCGGUAGUAACUGUAUAUAGUAUCCUUUACUACGAUGUUCCAAGCACACUUUAAGCAUAAAAUCUUAAACACAGUAAACAACUUAGCUUUACUUUUACGUUUUAUAACUAUGAUCAAUCAUAGUUACCUCCCGUCUUUAUUACGUCAAGUCAAGUUUUAAACAGAGCGAAUUUUAAACAAACAAACAUGGCGUCUCCGACAACCUUUUGCCCACCUUAUCCCGAUAUUUUUCGAGAAUAUGGAACUUGUGCAAAAUCAGUCCCGUAUGAUAGUGAAUUCAAAUUCAACCUGCUGACCAAACACUGGGAUGAGGAUCCAAGUUUCAAGUUUCCAACAAGGUAUAAUAUUAAUAAUAGGAUUAUUUAUAAAAAAUACACACGCUACUGUAGACUUGAAAAGUAACACUUAACUGAAAUACUGAUUAAUUUUGUAAGAUGAAAUUCAAAUGAAUAAAUAGUAUAAUAGCAUGUGUUUUUGUUAAUUUGGUGACAUUUUCAGAGCAAGAAUUUAUAAAAAUAAAAUACAAUUUGAUAGUAAAAUAUUCAGCCAUAAAUCGCUUGACAUAAUUAAAAAGUUAUGUAUGACUUUUCACAAGUCCCUGUGGCGUAACGUUUAGCGUCGAGGACUCGUGAACCAACAACUCGAGUUCGCAUUUGGAGAGAGUACAUUUAUUUUUUUAAAUUAUUUUUACAUCUUUAUUGUUAUCUAAUAUUGUUAUUAUUUUAUUCUUCUUCUUAUUUAAUUAUUAUUAUUAUUAUUAUUAUUAUUAUUAUUAUUAUUAUUAUUGUUGUUGUUGUUGUUGUUGUUGUUGUUGUUGUUGUUGUUGUAGAAAACGAUUUGUAUUGCCCAUUUUGAAGCAAACCUGAUUAGGAACAUUAUCUUUAAUUGUAGGUAUGUUCAAGGACGGUUUCGCACCCUUCAACCAAAGUAUUUCGUGUCAUAUCUAUGGCUACGCUAUUCUGUGGUCACUGAUGGUGUCUACUGCGCCCAAUGCCAUCUGUUCGCUGGCCCUGAUGCUCGCGUGAAAACAUUAGUCACCACAGUAUUGAGAGAUUGGAGCAACAUAUCCAAGGUAGUUUUGAGCCACAUGAAAUCAGAGGCACAUCUGUCUAACUGUGAUUCAGCAGAUCAUUUCUUAGCAAUAAUGAAGGGCGAAAAAAAAGACAUACUAUGUAGCAUGUCAUCCCAAUACAAUGUGGUCGUUGAAAAGAACGGAAAGAUCCUUGUUAGUAUAACAGAAGCGAUAGUGUUCUGUGGGAAACAGAAAAUUGCCUUGAGGGGGCAUGAAGGCGAUAAGGAAAAUUUUCAGGCCCUAUUGAGCUUUCAGGCCAAGCAGGAUCCCAUAUUAAAAGAGCAUCUAGAACACGGAGAUCCAAGAUCUAUGUACCUUAGCCCCGAUAUACAAAAUGAGCUUAUUUCCAUUUGUGGAAAACAAAUCGCAGACAGUAUCGUGCCAAAGUGCAACAGCGCAGCCUGCUUCGGAUUUAUGGCUGACGAGGCAACUGAUGCCAGCACUAUUUAACAGAUGGCCAUGUGCCUUAGAUACUUCGACGGAGCUGAUUUACGCGAUGAUUUUUUUGGGGUUCGCUGAGUGCGAAUCAACUACAGGCGAGACGUUGGCCAAUGCCUUCUUAGCAAAUCUUGAACUGGCGGGUGUUGACGUAAACAAAAUGCGUGGCCAGGGAUAUGAUGGCGCUGCCAAUAUGUCCGGUAUCCGAAGAGGCGUACAGGCAAGGAUCCAACAGCGUAUUCCUGGGGCUGUGUACACCCACUGCAAAGCCCACUGCCUCAACCUGGCUAUUAUCCACGCAUCAAAAGAAAUGUAUGCAAGGAACAUGAUGGCUACCGUUCAACAAAUAUCGUUUGUUUUUAACUACACCGCUGAACGCCUCCUACGCUUCCAGGAAAACCUUGACAACGAUGAAGUUGCCCGUGUCGAGAUGGAGAAGCGCACUAAACUGCAAUCUCUGUGCGAGACCCGCUGGGAAGCUAGGGCGGAUGCUUUGCACACUUUCCUAUGCUCAUUUAGUCUGAACGCAACGAUCCAACAGCAUGGGACAACAUGUACGAAAAGACUAUGUCACUAGCAAGAGACAUUGGGGUGGAACCGUCCAUUCCUCGAGGCCCGGGGCGACAGGCAAACAGGCCUAACGCACCAGCGGCAACACCCACAGAAUACUGGAAGGUCAACAUGUCCCUUCCUUUCAUUGACCACCUAGUUGUUGAGUUAACAACCCGCCUGCUUAAACCGCAUGGGAGAUUUACUGCACAAUAUCUUCUCCCGACGAAAGGUACUGAACUGACACCUGCCAGGGCCGCAGAGAUUUUUGCAGAGUACAGUCCAGACUUAGAGUGUGACGAGGAGACGUUUGUCCGGGAGUGUAAAAGAUGAAUUGCUAAAUGGACCCCAACAUCCCCAGCUGAGUAUCCAGACCUGGAAACAUCUUUGCGAGUGGCCACUGAGGCAUCAUAUCCAAACAUAAGACUUUGCAUGAUGGUGUUGAUGUGCAUGCCCGUUUCCACAGCUACGGCAGAGCGGUCCUUCUCCACGAUGAGGAGAGUCAAGACGUACCUCCGCAACACGAUGACCACCGAGAGCCUUUCAGGGCUUGGGCUUUUUAACAUUUAUCAAGAGCGAGAUAUCAACGCUGAGCACGUAGUGGAUGUUUUUGCACGUAGAAAAGACCGUCGGCUGGCGUUAGUGUUCAAAGUUUAAACGUGUGUUGUUGUGUAAAACUGUUUCAGAACGGGGAAAAAAAUCCGUAAAAUAAACUAUGUAUACAUUUGUGUAUUAUUUGCUUGUGAUGUUGUCCAUGUUUAAAUCAAACUUAAUGUGAUAUUUGUCCUCAAUGCAACUUGUUCAUCUGUAUAUCCUAUAUAUUCGGAGGGAGGCAUCUCAACCAAGUAUAAAUAUGUUUUGAAUAUUUAUUGCUCGAUCUUGCAGUUUUCCUUUUUUGCUUCAGUUAUUAUUAACUUAAAACUUGCAUUUCAAGUUACCAGAUAUGCGUCAAAUGCCACCAAAUCGCAUGAGUAAACAAAAAAGAUUCAGGGGGAGGACCCCCAGACCCCCCGCUAAAAAUGGGAGUACUUCAAAUUGGGUUCCAGCUACGCCCCUGACAAGUAAACAGGUCGUUACUUACACUUAAAAGCUUCGAUGGCUAGUAAAUUUCCGUAAUAUACUCGCCGUAUAUGCCCGUAAAAUGCCCGUUUCUCAUAGUUAUCCGUGACAACUAGUAACAAAUCGUGGAAUUUUGCCGUAAAUAAAUUGAAAUUAAUCGCAGUAAACCGUAAAUAGCUCGUAAUAACUCGUAACACAAAUCUUAAAACGGUCGUAAAAGUGGCCAAAUCGGAAGGAUCCGUGAAUUUGUGCGAUCCGUGAAGACUCGUAAGAAAUUAUGUAUGUGAAGGGAACAAAAUGUAAAAAAGGUAGGCAGCGCUGAUUAUUUUUGGUCAAAACGUAUCUCGUUAUGCGCUUGAAAUAUUUUGAAUUGACACUUUCACGUGUGUGUAUCAAAAAUAAACAUAUUUUUAGUAAUUUUUACACAAUUCCAUAGUAAUUUAUUUGACUAGUCUUAAAAUAAUUUAAUGAAAUCAAUUCUCCCUAUAAUUAUCCUUAUUUGGAUAAGAAAGGGAAAAAAAUAUUCAAUGUCUUUAAUUAAAAGAUAUAUGCGACAACGCCUGUAAAACAUGGCCUGCCAGUACCCUCCUUAUACAGUGUACAUGUAAACGCACUGUGAUCUAUUGGAUAAGUGUGUAUGUAGGUAAAUGUUUUUGCCUCUCAACUUAUGACGAUGUAAGAAAGAGACAUAAAACUCUUUUAAAGCUGCACUCUCACAGAUUUACCAUUUUUUACAUUUUUUUUUAUUUUUUGUCUUGGAAAGAGCAAAUUUUUGCGUAAAUAUCUGCAAACAAAAAAUAAGAUCGAAAAUUUCCUUUUUGCAUUCAAAAAUUAAUAUUUUAUGGCUUAAACUGUUACUAACGGUUUAAGAAAAAAUGCAUAAAACAUCAAUUAUUGAACUUGAAUAUAAAAAUCUGCGAUCUAAUUUUUGUCAGCAGUCUUAUAUAACUGGUUUCCAUGGAUUUUCGCAAAAAUUGGCUCGUUCCAAGACAAAAAAUGAAAAAAAUUGUCAAAACGUUCAAUCUGUGAGUGCAGCUUUAAGACUUUAUAGUUCAUAUUAUAAAGUUUAGAUCGAACUCAAUUUAAGAGCUGUAACAUUUGUAGGUAUGCAUUUUGUUUUGUAUAAAGUAAGCAUUUGUUAAUAAUGUUUCGAUGCGUGUCAAAGUUUAUGUUAUUCGCAGUGAGAGUUUUAACUUCAUAUGCUGUGUAAUAUAAUAUUAUAUUUAUUCAUGACUGUUAGCAAGAUCAGCAAAUAUUUAGAGCUUGAUGGCAAAUUAUUGAUGCGGAAUAUUUUCAUGAAUUAAAUGUUAUACACUGCAAGGGCGGCUCCAGGAUUUUUUUACUUUAGAUGGGACGUAAUUUACAGUCUUUUGACAUUCGCCCCUCUCUUAGAACCGAAAUUUAAAUACAUGUAGUUCAAAAUGUUGG